UACAGAGGGUGCGAGCGUCAAUCGGAGCUACUGGGCGUAAAGGGCGCGUAGGCGGUGAGAUGAGUGUGAUGUGAAAGCCCCGGGCUUAACCUGGGAAGUGCAUCGCAAACGAUCUGACUGGAGUAUAUGAGAGGGUGGCGGAAUUUCCGGUGCAGCGGUGAAAUGCGUAGAGAUCGGAAGGAACGUCGAUGGCGAAGGCAGCCACCUGGCAUAAUACUGACGCUGAGGCGCGAGAGCGUGGGGAGCGAACAGG
rnacentral:rRNA from 1 species